GCAGCUAUAUCCAAGCGCACUAUUAUCUUCCAAAUCAGUACCCAACGUCACCAGCAGCUCCGAUCCAAAAUAUGCAUGCAACGUGCAGAAGUGCAGUAUCACUACAACUCAACCCAUGUACUGGUAAGUAUUUUGUCUAACCUCAUCAAAGUAGUGACGAGGCUUUUAUUUAAAAGAUGCUUAUUGUUAUAACUUGUACAUAAGGUUAGCAGUCAGUUCAAAGCAUAAUAGAUAAAUAUAUCAUAUACAACUCCGCAAGCCAGUCAAUAAUUACUAAAUGGUAAUUACAAGUAGAUUUGAUUUGUGGUUCUAAAAAUAUGUGAUUUAUUUUUAUGCUAGUUUGUUAGGCAAUUGAUGCUAAAUGUGAGACUAGAAAAUAAGAUAAGAGCUUGAAGGCAGUAGGUCGAGCAUACUGAGUGGAUGAGGAUCGAGGCCUCUAAGUCGAGCUAAAUGCUAGGCUACGGAAAGUCGAUGAAAGACUAACAAUUAUAGGAGCAUUGACACUCUAUGAACAAUAAUGAGUAAUAAAUAAAGAACAGUUAAUGAAACAUAAAAAAGUAAGCAACAAAUGUAAGUAAUAGAAUCAAGGGAGAAACAACAGAGUGUGUUUUUGUUAAUGGUCAGAGAAUGUUCAUGUAUUCAAUUUUGUGUCCCUUAUAAAAUGAUGUAGGUCCCCUUUAUAUAUAAGGGGUAAUCCCAAUAGUACAGAUGUAUUUAUUAUAAGGAUAUGAGGCUGGUACAGCCAUUUAAUGCCACGGUACGGGCUUGAACUAGCCAAAUAGACAUGGUCAGCUUUAAUCACGUGCCUUGGGAACUUCCUAUUUGUCCAUCAUAGCCAUCAAAUUGUAUUGUCUCAAGGUCGAUUAUUGAUAACCCUUCGGGGUUGAACCUCCACCCUUGACUCGAGCCUUUGGAGAUGUGUUUAUGAAGUGUCACAAUGACCAUAAAAUUGGACCCUCUAGUUUUUACCGUAUACAGAUAGUCCCCAUAUUUCUUAGAAUGAAAAUGAUAAGAAACGGUCUUGGAUUCUUGCCUCGUCGAUACUACCAUCAUGACGUCAGCCGGUCAGAGCAUUAACUGUCAUGGCUCAAAGGCUGCAUAGGAGUCUCUAUCAACACGACGAUCAAGAAGCCCAUGAAAUGCUAUUGGUUUGGCCUUUCUGCUUUCUAAACGAUGCCCAUAUGGCUUCUAUAAAUACCUCAGCCAUUUUUUUAUUCACACUUUUACAACGUCUUCAAUUUCUAGAGCUAAAUUCACCAUCUUCUACAUUCUUCUCCCUUCUGCGUUUGCCUACUUAGAAAUCUUUUUUAUAGUCAUGGCUAGGAUCUCUAGAAUGAUACCUCAGAAAGAGGGCACUGCUUCUUCAUCUCGCCCACCCAGGGGUAAACCAAAAGUACCCUUAACCGUCGAGCAAUGUACCCCUACCAAAUUCGAUAUUGUAUCCAAUUUUUCUAUCGAAAAUCCCCCUUCUACACUAGGUCGAUGUGAGCACAUAUCUUGGUACAUCAGUAUAUUGACCAAUAUAAAUAGAGUGAAGGAAUAUUGUUGAUAGUGGAAGGCAGUGUUAGUAGAGUCCCGAAUCCUGAUGAAAGCAUAGUAGACCAAAAAGUUGGCUUCCUCACCAUGUAUACAUACCCAUUUUCUCUAGGCCUUGUAGAUUCUCCGAAUCCUUCUUGCUCUUUUAUAGAUCCAGUGAUUCUCGACUUUUUUCGCGAGUGUCGAGUGACACCUGGUCAAAUCUAUCCUUCUUUCUGGAAGAUCCUUUAUAUGCUCCGAUACUUUUCCAAUCAGGUCGAGGGUAUGACCUUUACCCUCAAUCACUUGGUCAGGUUAUAUAGCCCACGUCUCUUCCGGGGUUUGAUCAAGCUUCAUCCUCGAUCCACGAGGCUAUUUUUUUAACAUCGAUGAGGACAAGGAUCCGGGGUGGCUAAGCUAGAUUCUCUAAGUGAGGACCUCAGACAUCAUCCCGGAAAAUAGGAUGACAUUCCUAGAGGAAUGGAAUAUGAACCGUAAGUGCCCCUAACGCGAGCAUGUUUACUGCCCUUUUAUCUCCUUCUAAAAAUUGAUCUUCUUUUGAUUAUGUAUCCACCGCUUAGUACCCCCCCCCCCCCCNNNNNNNNNNNNNNNNNNNNNNNNNNNNNNNNNNNNNNNNNNNNNNNNNNNNNNNNNNNNNNNNNNNNNNNNNNNNNNNNNNNNNNNNNNNNNNNNNNNNNNNNNNNNNNNNNNNNNNNNNNNNNNNNNNNNNNNNNNNNNNNNNNNNNNNNNNNNNNNNNNNNNNNNNNNNNNNNNNNNNNNNNNNNNNNNNNNNNNNNNNNNNNNNNNNNNNNNNNNNNNNNNNNNNNNNNNNNNNNNNNNNNNCCCCGCAGUUCAAAAACUAUCAGGAUGGAUCAAAUAGUUGGACUCUACUUUCCCUUAUAUCAAGCGUUCUUGGUGUGACUUGGCCAAAAUGCGGUUGCAGACCAAGAGCCACGAUAUGCUUUUUAUUGUUAUCCUCACUAGAUUUCCUUAUAAGUGUCUUUUGUGAUGGUAAGAUUGAUGCAUCAUGCUUGUGUAGGCCUUGGGGGUAUAGUGUUGAUGAGGUCAUCUCCUGAUGGUGAAGAAGUGACCUUGAAACCCGGUAAGGGUAAGAAGAGGAUGAAAAAGACGUUGGUUGAGUCUCCCAAACUAGAGAAAUCUUAUGUUCCAGGCCUCAAAAUGACUCAAGGUCUCGACUUCGGCUGCUGUGGAAAAUCCCUAUAACGAGGAUGAAGGUGAUGAUGACGAUGAAGUCUUUUUGGUACAAAGGACGAGAUGAAGUGCAGAUGCUCGGUACAUUGUAGGGUGGAAAGCUGUCGAAUCGAGGGUGGUCGAUAUGGACCAAACCCGUGCUGAGGAGACCCUCAAGGAGGGUGCGGGCAUAGUCCCCAAGUUUCAAGUUGGGCGUGGUACAAUUUUGUGUCAAUAAACCCCCUGUCGAUGACUCCAGAAGGCUUGAACCCGAAGCAUCUUGGGGCAAGAUAAGGCCCUUAGAAAAGUUAAUAACCUGAGUGGCAUUAACUUGGGCCAUUCAUACUCACUGGGAGAAAUCAAGGAUGCUAGGACCCAGAUACCACUAAUGUGGGGGCCUCUCAUGGAGGGGAAGAUAUGCUCAGAUACCUCUUCGACGAAGUUUAUUAGAACAUUGAUCUCGUUGCUCCCGUUUCUCUUGAGGAGGCAGAGAGGCUUCAAUAGCAGGUGAUACUCCUAAGGUAUCAUUUGUGCUUUAAAUAUUUGUUCUUAAAUUUCUAACUUUUCUCUGUAGUUGUAGGCUAAGAAGAUGUAUGAUCAUGCCUUUUCUAGGCUUGGAGAAGAGCUUUCGUGUUGUGGUAAGGAGCUCGAAAAGCUCACCUCAGUUUUGAAGAAGCUGGAGGCCUCCUUUGCCCGAAAGGGAGGAGUUGAACAGGCUUCGGGCAAGUUUGGAGGGAGUUCACCAUAAAAGGGCUGGCCUGGCUGAGCAGGUAACACGGCAUCCAUGAACUCACCUUUUUAUUCUAAUAAUAUAUAAUUAGAUGUUCACCAGCUUAUUUUGACUUUACAGAUUGGGCAAAAGGAUGCCUUAGUGGGGAAACUUCAGGAAGAGGUUGCAGGCAAGAAUGCGGAGAUCCUCGAGCUAAGGGGGAAAAUGAGGUCGUGACCUCAGAGAGAGACCUUUGGCAGUUUGAGUUGGCAUCGAUCCAUGGUCUCCUUCGGAAUGCUCAUUAGGAGGAGGCUGCACUAUAUGUGGCCAAAUCUAAGGCCGAAGAAAAUGCGUCAAUAUACAUGAAAGAUGCCGCCACUGCAAAUGAUCAGGCCAGAGAUAUCGGAGAAGGCCAAGAAGAAACUGACUCAGGUUGUUGCUUACGCUCGUUCGCAAGCAAGGAGGUAGGAUCUUGAGGAAGCAAGUGCCAAGGAGCAGAUCUCUCAGCUGAGAUUGAGGAAGCCUGAAUCAUGGAGGUAAAAUCAAAAAAUUUGGCCACUUCGGAUAAGGGUUCCGAAGAUGAUCCAGAGAGUAGUGGGAUUGAAGAAUAGAAUCACGUCAUCUUCCCCCUUACUUUUUAGUGCAUGAAUUUCUCCGGGGGGGAGGGGGAAGAUUUCGUAAAGAAACCCCCUUGUAAAUAUAUUUUUUGGGAAUGUAAAUGUUUUUUCAGCUUUAAGUCUUCAAAUUUCAUAUUUCAGUAUUUAUGCGAAGUUAGCCUUUGAGCUUUGAUGUUGAGUCUUCGGAACCCAUACUUGGAGUAAUCGGGGCCCUCGACAUCGGGAACCAUCUCGAAAUUAGGUUGAUAGAUUUUUUAGAGUUGAUGCUUGUAAUAACAGAAAUCCUCGGGAUCUUAAUGGCUCCCAAGUGUCGUGUGACAGUGUCAUUUACGUGACACAGUUGCAAAGUGGUCGGGGUGGCCUCAUCGGUACACUUCCCUAAAAAUGGUACCAAUAUGGUUAGAAUUAAUUUGCUUUCAGGAUAGGCGAACAACCACUACAUACUCUAUAUAUGCAUUUGCUUGUUUCUUAUCUGGGGACUCCGCUACUUUGAAUAACUAUCUCUUUCAUAGAACUCUUAUUCUUUGCGCUAGUUCCUUUACCAUUUCAGCUCAAAGCUUUUGCCCAAGUCUUCAUCUUACCUUUCUAUUUUACCAUAGCCAUGGCUGCUACGUCCAAAUCUGUUCACCAAUAAGAGGAGACCUCCAAAUCCGUGUCUGGUGAGCUAACUUCAAGGUGCUUUGUCUCGAUGAGGGACUUUAUGCUAGAGAGACCUCCCAAUGUUCAUGGCCACUGGGAUCAUGCAUCGAUUUUUAUCUUCUUAAUAGGGGAGGAACACCUAGAGGCACUUAGAAAAGACUACGGAUGGGGAGAAAAGGUGAUACUGCAGGUACCUUCCUCGGAAGAGAGCAUCAUGGCUCAUGUCGAGGGGUUUUUAAAUGUAUACACGUACCCUUUUAUAUUGGGCCCUCUUGAUAGGGUUGUGCUCAAAUUUUGUAGAAUAUAAAAGUGUCACACCUCCUUUUUCCUACACCCCAUAAGGGAUAUAAGAGAGUUUUUCCAAUUAAAGUGACAAUUAAAACGGUAUCAUUUAUUUAGAGUCGCCACUUGGGAUAAUUUAUGGUGUCCCAAGUCACCUGUUUUAAAUUCCAUAUCGAGGAAAGAUUGACUCUAUUUUACAGUCUACGAACAUAGAAAUUCGGGUAAGAAAUUCUGUUAACCCGGGAGAAAGUGUUAGGCAUUCUCGAGUUCGGUGGUUCUAGCACGGUCGCUCAAUUGUUAUAUUGACUUAUUAUCUGAUUAAUUACAUAUUAUAAAACUACGUGCAUUUUUAAUUUUAUAACCACUUUUAUUUAUUUUAAGGAAAAUUUAAAUGUCAUCUAAAACAUGUCUUCGGACCACGCUACAUGAAAUGCACCCGCAAUCCGAGACACAUUUUAUUUAACAUUUUUAAGACUUGGAUUUGGGUCAUAUGAAAUGCACACCCGAGUUUAGGAAGGUAAUCUUUAAAAUAGUGCGCCUAAAAGAACAACGCACUUUCAACUUUGCGAGGGCCAUGAAAAUAUGCUAAUGGCACACAUCGAUUUUUAGAAGAUUAAGAUUAAUUAUCCAAGGGCCAUGUAUUGUUUAGUUUUGUUCAUGGCACACCUUGAUUCUAAAUAAAGGGCCUAGUUAAUUAAACAACUAAAAGGAAUAUCGAAUUAAUCAGGCAAAUGCCUCAGUUGAAUUGUACAUCAGCUAAUAUUAAUUGCAGAACUACUCAAAUCAUUUCAAAUAUAACUUGCGCCAGUAGCAAUCCUCAGUGGAGAUAACCAUAUUGAAAAGAAAAGGGCCAUAUGUGAUAAAGCAAACAACGGUCCAAUCCACAAAGGCCGUCAAGCUUGGGCUCAAGUGAGCCCAAAUUGGUGAAACAACAAGGACCUUACAAGGGUGUGUAAUUAAAUUCGACUAUUAUUCAACUGGGCCACUAGUUUGCCCAGUUCUUGUGAUCCAAAUGGUUCAUGCCCAAGUCAAACAAUGCAAGUCAAACUAGCGUUAACAUAGAACACGAGAUCGAAUUGACAGGUUUAAACUAUGAUUUAAAACAUUUGACACAAAUUAACUAAAAUAAUGUUCAACCUUUAUCUUGCAUUCUUGAGUCCAAUAUGCUACAAGAGUAAUCCAGCAACAAUAACACGAGCAAUUGGGCUUAGUAGACAAGCCCAAUGCAUCAAACGUACCAUCCUCUCUUGUAAAUGGCCCCACAAUCUAAGGCUCCUUGAACCUAAGACUUGCAAAACCAAAAUUGGGAAUCAAGACUUAAUGUCGAGUCCUAUCCAACCAGAAGCCUCAACAGGCAAUUAGCUCACUAAACAUUCUUAUCUUCAAUUGCAGUGAUAACAAAACAACAGAGGUUCAUGCUUGCAUUUUACUUCUAAACUAAUUUCAUAAAUAAACGUAUGAAAUUUAAACUCAUUUAGACCAUUUAAAUGGCAGUUUUAACAAAGUAAAAUAUUACAAAGCUUUCCAAAUUGCAAAUUAAAACCAUGGAUAGCACUUCAAUAUGACAAUUUCUAAUUUCAAACCUGAGGAGCAUCAAAUUGUCACACUCAAACAACCUUCCACUACAGCACUGGUUUCAAACAAACAGAUCUACAUCAUGCUUAAAUCUACUGAGUUUCCUGCUACAAUAAUUUUCUAGCACCCAAUACAUGAUCAAAACGUACAAUACAUCCCAACUAAGCAAAAUAAAGGAGACAUCUGCUCAAUACUAUGACAAAAAUUAAAACUACAAAUUAGUAAGAACCAAAUAGCUAACAUAAGCAUAUGCAUAUUGAUUUUCAAAUCAGGUGAGCCUAAUUACAUUUUUCAAAAAAAUCUCAGCUACAACUUCAAUAGUUCAGGAGAAAUACCUGUGAAACAAAAAGGGAAACAAAGAGAAAUGAGGGUUCAGAAGGCAGCAAAUAGCAGAACAAUACCUAGAUUCCAAACAGUACAAAAACCAAGCUCGAAACCAACAUUCCAAAUCCAAAAGCUCAAAACCAUUUUUACUCAAACGUAGGAAUUCUUAGUUUUUAGGGUUUCUAGCUAAUAGGGAAGGUCAGAAAUCUAGAAAUCGCGCUAAAUUUGGAGCAGUUUUUAGCAGGAAAUGCAAGGAAUUCAGUGUUGUUUUAAAAAAAUUCCAUCGUUUCAGCUUUUUUAGAGUUUUUAAUCUCCUCCCUC
rnacentral:lncRNA from 1 species